AGUGAACGCUGGCGGUAGGCCUAACACAUGCAAGUCGAACGGCAGCACAGUAAGAGCUUGCUCUUACGGGUGGCGAGUGGCGGACGGGUGAGGAAUACAUCGGAAUCUACUUUUUCGUGGGGGAUAACGUAGGGAAACUUACGCUAAUACCGCAUACGACCUACGGGUGAAAGCAGGGGAUCUUCGGACCUUGCGCGAUUGAAUGAGCCGAUGUCGGAUUAGCUAGUUGGCGGGGUAAAGGCCCACCAAGGCGACGAUCCGUAGCUGGUCUGAGAGGAUGAUCAGCCACACUGGAACUGGGACACGGUCCAGACUCCUACGGGAGGCAGCAGUGGGGAAUAUUGGACAAUGGGCGCAAGCCUGAUCCAGCCAUACCGCGUGGGUGAAGAAGGCCUUCGGGUUGUAAAGCCCUUUUGUUGGGAAAGAAAAGCAGCAGGUUAAUACCCCGCUGUUCUGACGGUACACAAAGAAUAAGCACCGGCUAACUUCGUG
rnacentral:rRNA from 1 species